GUCGAACGCUGGCGGCGUGCUUAACACAUGCAAGUCGAACGGAAAGGCCCUGCUUGCAGGGUACUCGAGUGGCGAACGGGUGAGUAACACGUGGGUGAUCUGCCCUGCACUUCGGGAUAAGCUUGGGAAACUGGGUCUAAUACCGGAUAGGAGCCAUCUUUAGUGUGGUGGUUGGAAAGUUUUUUCGGUGUAGGAUGAGCUCGCGGCCUAUCAGCUUGUUGGUGGGGUAAUGGCCUACCAAGGCGGCGACGGGUAGCCGGCCUGAGAGGGUGUACGGCCACAUUGGGACUGAGAUACGGCCCAGACUCCUACGGGAGGCAGCAGUGGGGAAUAUUGCACAAUGGGCGCAAGCCUGAUGCAGCGACGCCGCGUGGGGGAUGAAGGCCUUCGUGUUGUAAACUCCUUUCGCUAGGGACGAAGCUUUGUUGUGACGGUACCUAGAUAAGAAGCACCGGCUAACUACGUG
rnacentral:rRNA from 1 species